rnacentral:rRNA from 1 species
UGACAGUCCCGUAUUCGAAAAUCGAAGCAGACCUAGUGGUAUCCUGAGUAGCACGGGACACGUGAAACCCCGUGUGAAUCCAUGCCGACCACGGCAUAAGGCUAAAUACUCGAUGACGACCGACAGUGAACUAGUACCGCGAGGGAAAAGGUGAAAAAGCACCCCUGUUAGGGGAGUGAAAUAGUAACUGAAAUCAUCUGCUAACAAGUCAGUCGGAGCCCUCUUGUGGGGUGACGGCCUGCCUUUUGUAUAAUGAGUCUGCGAGUUAUUGUCGGUAGCAAGCCUAAGCCGCUCAGCGGCGCAGGCGCAGCGAAAGCGAGUCCGAACAGGGCGCUUAUUUGUCGGCAAUAGACCCGAAGGGGAGGUGAUCUAACCAUGGCCAGGAUGAAACUUCGGUAACACGAAGUGGAGGUUCGAACCGGUCAACCUUGAGAAGUUGUCGGAUGAGCUGUGGUUAGGAGCGAAAGACUAAUCA